rnacentral:tRNA from 1 species
GCGGGAGUCGCCCAGCCCGGUCAACGGCGUAAGACUGAGGCUCUUAUCCCUUAGGGGUUCGUGGGUUCAAAUCCCACCUCCCGCACCA